rnacentral:rRNA from 2 species
AGCUUGCUCCCGGAUGUUAGCGGCGGACGGGUGAGUAACACGUGGGUAACCUGCCUGUAAGACUGGGAUAACUCCGGGAAACCGGAGCUAAUACCGGAUAGUUCCUUGAACCGCAUGGUUCAAGGAUGAAAGACGGUUUCGGCUGUCACUUACAGAUGGACCCGCGGCGCAUUAGCUAGUUGGUGGGGUAAUGGCUCACCAAGGCGACGAUGCGUAGCCGACCUGAGAGGGUGAUCGGCCACACUGGGACUGAGACACGGCCCAGACUCCUACGGGAGGCAGCAGUAGGGAAUCUUCCGCAAUGGACGAAAGUCUGACGGAGCAACGCCGCGUGAGUGAUGAAGGUUUUCGGAUCGUAAAGCUCUGUUGUUAGGGAAGAACAAGUGCGAGAGUAACUGCUCGCACCUUGACGGUACCUAACCAGAAAGCCACGGCUAACUACGUGCCAGCAGCCGCGGUAAUACGUAGGUGGCAAGCGUUGUCCGGAAUUAUUGGGCGUAAAGGGCUCGCAGGCGGUUUCUUAAGUCUGAUGUGAAAGCCCCCGGCUCAACCGGGGAGGGUCAUUGGAAACUGGGAAACUUGAGUGCAGAAGAGGAGAGUGGAAUUCCACGUGUAGCGGUGAAAUGCGUAGAGAUGUGGAGGAACACCAGUGGCGAAGGCGACUCUCUGGUCUGUAACUGACGC